rnacentral:rRNA from 1 species
GACGUAGGGCGCGAGCGUUGUCCGGAUUUAUUGGGCGUAAAGAGCUCGUAGGCGGCUUGUCGCGUCGUCUGUGAAAACCCGCGGCUCAACGGCGGGCUUGCAGUCGAUACGGGCAGGCUGGAGUUCGGUAGGGGAGACUGGAAUUCCUGGUGUAGCGGUGAAAUGCGCAGAUAUCAGGAGGAACACCAGUGGCGAAGGCGGCUUCCUGGCCUGUUCUUGACGCUGAGGCGCGAAAGCUAGGGGAGCAAACGGG